CCUACGGGGGGCAGCAGUGGGGAAUAUUGGACAAUGGGCGAAAGCCUGAUCCAGCCAUGCCGCGUGUGUGAAGAAGGCCUUCGGGUUGUAAAGCACUUUCAGUGGGGAAGAAGCCUUGGGGCUAAUACCCUCGAGGAAGGACAUCACCCACAGAAGAAGCACCGGCUAACUCCGUGCCAGCAGCCGCGGUAAUACGGAGGGUGCGAGCGUUAAUCGGAAUUACUGGGCGUAAAGCGCGCGUAGGCGGUCUGAUAAGCCGGUUGUGAAAGCCCCGGGCUCAACCUGGGAACGGCAUCCGGAACUGGCAGGCUAGAGUGCAGGAGAGGAAGGUAGAAUUCCCGGUGUAGCGGUGAAAUGCGUAGAGAUCGGGAGGAAUACCAGUGGCGAAGGCGGCCUUCUGGACUGACACUGACGCUGAGGUGCGAAAGCGUGGGUAGCAAACAGGAUUAGAUACCCGGGUAGUC
rnacentral:rRNA from 1 species